GCCCCUAUAGCUCAGCUGGUAGAGCAUCUGAUUUGUAAUCAGGAGGUCGGGAGUUCGAGUCUCUCUGGGGGCACCA
rnacentral:tRNA from 1 species